GAUAACAAUCGAGACUCGGAAUGACUUAUCUUACAAAAAAAAAUUAUAGAAGUACAUACAUGUAAACCAUUAAAAACUCCAUUGUAUUGUUUUUAACUUGAUUUUUUUAAUGCAUCAAUGAUUUAGCAACUUUAUUUUUCCAUAAUACUAUUCAUUUAAAAACGAUAAGGAGAUAAUAGUUGUUCCGUACUCCAAACUUGAUAUUUGCAUUUACCAUUAAGUGAGCAUAUAUCGUUGAAUUUUUAGUGUAAUUCUUGUGCUUUAUAAUUUUUGUCAUGCAUUAUAUCAUUUUGGUGCUUUACGUUUCAAUUGUUGGAACAUUAAGAUAUUUACUUAUAUGUUUUCUUUAUGAAUUAGAUGAUUUUGUUUUAAUAUCAAGAGAACAUAUUUUUACACAAUUCAUCAAAAAAUAUAUUUUAGCAUAGAAAAGGGCACACCUUUAUUUUCUUUUGCUAUUUUUUUUAUAUUUUGGGUCACUUAUAAUAUGAUUUUGAUGCAACCUUCAUAUUAUACGUACAUCUACAUUUUUACUAACAUUUUCUGAAACCAUAGACUUGUUUAUUUUUUGUAUCGAUGCCAUUUUAAAACUGUGAUAGUAUAUUUAUAUUUGUUAUCUAUGCAAUAAAACUAUUAAAUAUAC
rnacentral:sRNA from 1 species